UACAGGGGGUGCAAACGUUGCUCGGAAUUAUUGGGCGUAAAGCGCACGUAGGCGGCUUUCUAAGUCAGGGGUGAAAUCCUGGAGCUCAACUCCAGAACUGCCUUUGAUACUGGAGAGCUAGAGUCCGGAAGAGGUGAGUGGAACUGCGAGUGUAGAGGUGAAAUUCGUAGAUAUUCGCAAGAACACCAGUGGCGAAGGCGGCUCACUGGUCCGGUACUGACGCUGAGGUGCGAAAGCGUGGGGAGCAAACAGG
rnacentral:rRNA from 1 species